rnacentral:tRNA from 1 species
GCCUUCGUGGUGUAAUGGUCAGCACACUCGGCGCGUAUACGAGAGGUCCAGGUUCGAGUCCCGGCGAGGGCA